rnacentral:rRNA from 1 species
CAUAAUAAUUAGUCUUGUAAUUUAAGACUGGGAUGAAAGGGUAAACUAAAGAGCUUCUUUAUUAACUUUUUUCUUUAAAUUUUACUUUUUAGUAAAAAGGCUAAAAUAUGUCUUUUAGACAAGAAGACCCUAUAAAGCUUUACAUAUAAUAAUUUAAUAAAUUAAAAAUGUGUUUUACUGGGGCGGUGGAAAGAUAAACACUUUCAUAACAUUAAGAUAAUACUAUUUUAAUACCCAAAACUUUUGAAGCUUAAAUAAGUUACUUUAGGGAUAACAGCGUAAUGUAUUCUUAAAGCUCAAAUUGACGAAUAUGUUUGCGACCUCGAUGUUGGAUUAGGUUUCCUUUACCCCUGCAAGAG